CCUACGGGUGGCUGCAGUGGGGAAUAUUGGACAAUGGGCGAAAGCCUGAUCCAGCCAUGCCGCGUGUGUGAAGAAGGCCUUCGGGUUGUAAAGCACUUUCAGUGGGGAAGAAAGCCUUGGGGCUAAUACCCUCGAGGAAGGACAUCACCCACAGAAGAAGCACCGGCCAACUCCGUGCCAGCAGCCGCGGUAAUACGGAGGGUGCGAGCGUUAAUCGGAAUUACUGGGCGUAAAGCGCGCGUAGGCGGUCUGAUAAGCCGGUUGUGAAAGCCCCGGGCUCAACCUGGGAACGGCAUCCGGAACUGUCAGGCUAGAGUGCAGGAGAGGAAGGUAGAAUUCCCGGUGUAGCAGUGAAAUGCGUAGAGAUCGGGAGGAAUACCAGUGGCGAAGGCGGCCUUCUGGACUGACACUGACGCUGAGGUGCGAAAGCGUGGGUAGCAAACAGGAUUAGAUACCCUAGUAGUC
rnacentral:rRNA from 1 species